ACUUGGAGAUAGCUGGUUCUCUCCGAAAUAGCUUUAGGGCUAGCCUCGCAAAGAGGAUGCUGGAGGUAGAGCUCUGUUUGGACUAGGGGCCCGUCAAGGGUUACUGAAUUCAGAUAAACUGCGAAUUCCAGACAUUUAUGUGCGGGAGUCAGACUGCGAGUGAUAAGAUCCGUAGUCGAAAGGGAAACAGCCCAGAUCACCAGUUAAGGUCCCAAAAUUCAUGCUAAGUGGAAAAGGAUGUGGAGUUGCGCAGACAACUAGGACGUUGGCUCAGAAGCAGCCAUCAUUCAAAGAGUGCGUAAUAGCUCACUAGUCGAGUGACGCCGCGCCGAAAAUUUACCGGGGCUAAGCAUGAUACCGAAACUGUGGAUGUGCGUUUAUGCACGUGGUAGGAGAGCGUUCUAGCGGCGGUGAAGCAUGACCGAGAGGACAUGUGGAGCUUCUAGAAGUGAGAAUGCCGGUAUGAGUAACGAAAGACAGGUGAGAAUCCUGUCCGCCGCAAGACUAAGGUUUCCUGGGGCAGGCUCGUCCGCCCAGGGUAAGUCGGGACCUAAGGCGAGGCCGAGAGGCGUAGUCGAUGGACAACAGGUUGAAAUUCCUGUACUGCACCGAAUCGUUAUGAGCGAUGGAGGGACGCAGGAGGCUAGCAGCGCGUGGUGCUGGAUACCACGUUCAAGCGUCAAGUCUGAGAGCGAGAAAAGCUUCUAGCCAGAGACGGUGCACCCGUACCGCAAACCGACACAGGUAGUCGAGGAGAGUAUCCUCAGGUGAGCGAGAGAACUCUCGUUAAGGAACUCGGCAAAAUGGCCCCGUAACUUCGGGAGAAGGGGCGCUGGUCGCAAGAUCAGCCGCAGUGAAAAGGCCCAAGCAACUGUUUAUCAAAAACACAGGCAUCUGCAAAAUCGUAAGAUGAAGUAUAGGUGCUGACACCUGCCCGGUGCUGGAAGGUUAAGAGGAGAGCUUAGCGCAAGCGAAGGUUUGAAUUGAAGCCCCAGUAAACGGCGGCCGUAACUAUAACGGUCCUAAGGUAGCGAAAUUCCUUGUCGGGUAAGUUCCGACCUGCACGAAAGGUGUAAUGAUUUGGGCACUGUCUCAACGAGAGACUCGGUGAAAUUAUAAUACCCGUGAAGAUGCGGGUUACCCGCGACAGGACGGAAAGACCCCAUGGAGCUUUACUGCAGUUUAAUAUUGGGUAUCUGUCAAGCAUGUACAGGAUAGGUAGGAGCCGGAGAAGAUAGGACGCCAGUCUUAUCUGAGGCGCUGUUGGGAUACUACCCUUGCUUGACGGAUGCUCUAACUCAGGCCUGUGAUCCAGGCCGAGGACAGUGUUUGACGGGCAGUUUGACUGGGGCGGUCGCCUCCUAAAGUGUAACGGAGGCGCCCAAAGGUUCCCUCAGAAUGGUUGGAAAUCAUUCGCAGAGUGUAAAGGUAAAAGGGAGCUUGACUGCGAGAGAGACAACUCGAGCAGGUACGAAAGUAGGGCUUAGUGAUCUGGUGGUACCGUAUGGAAGGGCCAUCACUCAACGGAUAAAAGCUACCCUGGGGAUAACAGGCUUAUCUCCCCCAAGAGUUCACAUCGACGGGGAGGUUUGGCACCUCGAUGUCGGCUCGUCGCAUCCUGGGGCUGAAGUCGGUCCCAAGGGUUGGGCUGUUCGCCCAUUAAAGCGGCACGCGAGCUGGGUUCAGAACGUCGUGAGACAGUUCGGUCCCUAUCCGUCGUGGGCGUAGGAAAUUUGAGAGGAGCUGUCCUUAGUACGAGAGGACCGGGAUGGACGCACCGCUGGUGUACCAGUUGUCUUGCCAAAGGCAUCGCUGGGUAGCUAUGUGCGGACGGGAUAAGCGCUGAAAGCAUCUAAGUGCGAAGCCCCCCUCAAGAUGAGAUUUCCCAUUUCUUCAAGAAAGUAAGACACCUCAGAGACGAUGAGGUAGAUAGGCCGGGAGUGGAAGAGCCGUGAGGCUUGGAGCGGACCGGUACUAAUCAGUCGAGGACUUGACCAAAA
rnacentral:rRNA from 1 species